rnacentral:rRNA from 1 species
UACGGAGGGGCUAGCGUUGUUCGGAAUUACUGGGCGUAAAGCGCACGUAGGCGGCUUUGUAAGUUAGAGGUGAAAGCCCGGGGCUCAACUCCGGAAUUGCCUUUAAGACUGCAUCGCUAGAAUUGUGGAGAGGUAAGUGGAAUUCCGAGUGUAGAGGUGAAAUUCGUAGAUAUUCGGAAGAACACCAGUGGCGAAGGCGGCUAUCUGGACGAGUACUGACACUGAGACGCGAAAGCAUGGGGAGCAAACAGG